UUGUUCCCACAUCAAAUGUCUAUGAGAUAACAAGACUCUUGUUACACAGAGGACAGUAAGAAAUAAGAAUAUUGAAUGUCUUCACACAUGCUCCUGGAUGAGCACAUCAUGGCUGGAAUAAUGGUCAAGGCUGGGAAAACAAGCACUGUAUGAAGGACCUGCCCUACUCAGUCACCUGUUCCUGCCGUGGCAUCAGAGGGAGGCCCUGGGAGCUCAGGGAAUUGCUGCAGAGGCACAGGGCUACCCACCUCUCCUUGCAGCCUGAGCUAGGAAUUCACUGCCAAGAAUGACAACUCAUUUGGAAGCUCAGGAAACACUGUGGUUUGGGGGUCUUAUGCUUCAGCCUGGGGUAAUGACAAGUGGAUGGAGAAGUCCUUGCUGUGAGCAGCCAGACUGCUUUGGGAGCAGGAGAGCCUCAGUGACACCUUGCCUGCCUCCCACCACAAAGAGAUGAGCAUGGAAUGCUGAUGGGAGCAAAGCAGCAGCUCAGGGGAGAAGAUUGAUGGUGCUCUCUGGCCUCUCCCAGCCAGGGAGGGGUCCUGAGCACUCCACAGGGGUUCCUCCAUGAAGGAGUUCUGUGAAGCUGUCCUCCUCUGGUCUGGAGACAUCAUCAGCAGACUCUGCAAUAACACAGCCACACAGAGAUGUCACAUGGAGACAGGUCUCUGCAUGCACUGUCAGGGGUUACUCAG